AAGGCGAUGAUGCAUAGCCGAGUUGAGAGACUGAUCGGCCACAUUGGGACUGAGACACGGCCCAAACUCCUACGGGAGGCAGCAGUAGGGAAUCUUCCACAAUGGACGCAAGUCUGAUGGAGCAACGCCGCGUGAGUGAAGAAGGGUUUCGGCUCGUAAAGCUCUGUUGUUGGUGAAGAAGGACGAGGGGGUAGUAACUGACCUUUGUUUGACGGGUAAUCAAUUAGAAAAGUCACGGGCUAACUACGUGCCAGCAGCCGCGGUAAAU
rnacentral:rRNA from 1 species